rnacentral:rRNA from 1 species
UGGGGAAUUUUGGACAAUGGGCGAAAGCCUGAUCCAGCAAUGCCGCGUGUGUGAAGAAGGCCUUCGGGUUGUAAAGCACUUUUGUCCGGAAAGAAAUCCUUGGCUCUAAUACAGUCGGGGGAUGACGGUACCGGAAGAAUAAGCACCGGCUAACUACGUGCCAGCAGCCGCGGUAAUACGUAGGGUGCAAGCGUUAAUCGGAGUUACUGGGCGUAAAGCGUGCGCAGGCGGUUUGCUAAGACCGAUGUGAAAUCCCCGGGCUCAACCUGGGAACUGCAUUGGUGACUGGCAGGCUAGAGUAUGGCAGAGGGGGGUAGAAUUCCACGUGUAGCAGUGAAAUGCGUAGAGAUGUGGAGGAAUACCGAUGGCGAAGGCAGCCCCCUGGGCCAAUACUGACGCUCAUGCACGAAAGCGUGGGGAGCAAACAGGAUUAGAUACCCUGGUAGUCCACGCCCUAAACGAUGUCAACUAGUUGUUGGGGAUUCAUUUCCUUAGUAACGUAGCUAACGCGUGAAGUUGACCGCCUGGUGAGUACGGUCGCAAGAUUAAAACUCAAAUGAAUUGACGGGGUC